UCCAGACUCCUACGGGAGGCAGCAGUGGGGAAUCUUGCGCAAUGGGCGGAAGCCUGACGCAGCGACGCCGCGUGCGGGACGAAGGCCUUCGGGUCGUAAACCGCUUUCAGCAGGGACGAGGCCCUCACGGUGACGGUACCUGCAGAAGAAGCCACGGCUAACUACGUGCCAGCAGCCGCGGUAAUACGGAGGAUGCGAGCGUUAUCCGGAUUUAUUGGGUUUAAAGGGUGCGCAGGCGGCACGGCAAGCCGGCGGUCAAAUCGCGGGGCCCAACCCCGCCCAGCCGUCGGAACUGCCGGGCUAGAGUGGGCGAGAAGUGCGCGGAAUGCGUGGUGUAGCGGUGAAAUGCAUAGAUAUCACGCAGAACUCCGAUUGCGAAGGCAGCGCACCGGCGCCCUACUGACGCUCAGGCACGAAAGCGUGGGUAUCGAACAGGAUUAGAUACCCCCGUA
rnacentral:rRNA from 1 species